GAUGAACGCUAGCGGCAGGCUUAAUACAUGCAAGUCGAGGGGCAGCAUGACUGUAGCAAUACAGUUGAUGGCGACCGGCAAACGGGUGCGGAACACGUACGCAACUUACCCAGAACUGGGGGAUAGCCCUCCGAAAGGAGGAUUAACACCCCAUAAGAUAGUGGUGCGGCAUCACACAGCUAUUAAAACUCCGGUGGUUUUGGAUGGGCGUGCGGCUGAUAGGUAGUUGGUGUAGGUAACGGCUCACCAAGCCUGCGAUCAGUAACUGGUGUGAGAGCACGACAGUCACACGGGCACUGAGACACGGGCCCGACUCCUACGGGAGGCAGCAGUAAGGAAUAUUGGUCAAUGGACGCAAGUCUGAACCAGCCAUGCCGCGUGGAGGAUGAAGGCCCUC
rnacentral:rRNA from 1 species